UUGCUUUGUUUUGGGUUUGAGUUUUAUUGUCGUUGAAACCGUCAUUCCUCAUGGCAUCCACCAGAUAUCACCUACAUGCAGAGCCCCUGGGAAGCUGCUGGGUUCAACCCGUGUACACACAUGCAGCUCGUUUGGAGGGCGUGGAUUAUGGAUAUAGCAGCAGCUCCUCUUCUUCUCAUCGCCUGAGUGUUUGCUUACUUCGGUAACUAUUCGUUCCAGAGAAAGGCCCUCUGAGAUCUGCUCUGCUCUAACUCUUUGUUGUCUUCCUCGUCAGAUGAUCCUGCUGUCCCCACGCUGUUCUGGUGAGAUCAGUCCAUCCCAGGUUCCGAGUGAGUCUGUGUCCCCGUUGUUGUGGAUUACCUACCUCCUGUGUCCUUCCUCAACACUGUCGGUGUUACCGGUCAGACGCCACUCCUUGUGUGCUCACCUUUCCCCCUCGUCGGUCCCUUGCCAGUGGAUUCCCCUUCGGAAGCUUCCGGGUCAGGAGAUCCAAGCCCGAACCCAGCCGGAGAACGAAUACUAUCAGACCACAGUCAAAGCCGCUCUGCCAGCAAUAAACAAACCAGUCCGCUCUCCAACGUAACCUAACCGCCCAGUGCUCGGCUCAAGUUUCAUCACCUUCCCACAAAUAAGACGACUCGGUCAUCAGCUCCAGUACUCACUCCCUGAUUCCUUCCCUGACUUCAAUAAAACUAUCAUUGUACAUUUUAUCGGUCUCUUCUGCUUGUGUUCUUGCAUGUGGGUUC